UACGUAGGGUGCAAGCGUUGUCCGGAAUUAUUGGGCGUAAAGAGCUCGUAGGCGGCCUGUCGCGUCGGCUGUGAAAACUCAGGGCUCAACCCUGAGCCUGCAGUCGAUACGGGCAGGCUAGAGUCCGGCAGGGGAGACUGGAAUUCCUGGUGUAGCGGUGAAAUGCGCAGAUAUCAGGAGGAACACCGGUGGCGAAGGCGGGUCUCUGGGCCGGAACUGACGCUGAGGAGCGAAAGCGUGGGGAGCAAACAGG
rnacentral:rRNA from 1 species